GAAAUGCGAUAAGUAAUGUGAAUUGCAGAAUUCAGUGAACCAUCGAAUCUUUGAACGCACAUUGCGCCCCCUGGUAUUCCGGGGGGCAUGUCCGUCCGAGCGUCAUUGCAACCCUCGAGCCUGCCUCGGUGUUGGGUCUCGCCGGUUCCCCGGCGGAUCUCAAAUGUAGCCAUCGGCGCUCCAGCGGCCUCAAGCGAAGUACAGUCUCCCGCUUUGGAGGUCCCCGGGGCGCCGCGCUCAUGUGAUCAUCGGUUGACCUCGGAUCGGGCAGGGAUACCCGCUGAACUUAA
rnacentral:misc_RNA from 1 species